rnacentral:rRNA from 1 species
UACAGAGGGUGCGAGCGUUGUCCGGAAUCACUGGGCGUAAAGGGCGCGUAGGUGGCGCGACAAGUCAGUGGUGAAAGCUCGACGCUUAACGUCGAGUCGGCCACUGAUACUGUUGGGCUGGAGCACUGUAGAGGCUAAUGGAAUUCCGGGUGUAGCGGUGGAAUGCGUAGAGAUCCGGAAGAACACCGGUGGCGAAGGCGGUUAGCUGGGCAGUUGCUGACACUGAGGCGCGACAGCGUGGGGAGCAAACAGG